AUGACACCAAGUCCUCCCAUGUGCUUUGGCCUACGUACUCUUGCCCACACAUUUGCCCCCCUUCACUUCCUCAGUCCCGGCCCAAAAGAAAGCCCGGCAACCUUUGCUCACUCUUUCAAGUGUCCAUUUUGGCGCCUCAACAAUCAUGAGGUGGUGAGUGGCCCGCGCUCUGAUGACUUGGUUGACAAAAACCAACCUACCGGGUCUAGUCACGAAGCCCCCUUUGCCAUCCCAGCAAGAUGUGAAGGGCAGUGUCCACCACGAGCUACCACUCAAAUCUUUCUAGCUACCAAAUGCUUAGCCCAAAUAUUUGCAUGGGAAGGUGGCAAUCUUCCAAGGCAGCGCCGACUUAACAAUCUCCUCAUCCUCAAGCUCCACCCAAAUCAAGAUAGCCGCAAAUUUGGCAAGAUUCAUUUUAAGCCCAAAUGCCACUCCAAAGAUGGUAAGCGAUUCUUUGACAAACAAGAGAUCCAGCCAUGUAGGUUUGAUGAAAAGAACCACAUUGUCCAUACAAGGACAAACACUGAACUGGGCUACAUCCAUUGA
rnacentral:rRNA from 1 species